AUGUCUGAGAGGCUUGAUGAUGAGGAAACCAUGGAAACGACUCUCGCCAGCGGAGAGGACCGCCUCGAGGCCCUCCCAAAUGAUCUUCUCAUCUAUCUUAUGUCGUUCCUGCCUUCCCGCGACUCUGUGCGGACAUGCGUUCUCGGUAAGCGUUGGAGCACGCUCUGGAAGUCUGUGCCCGCCCUACGCAUCGAUGACCCCGAUAGCUACGACGCCGUUAGUGGCUCCAACACAUUUGUGAACGAGUUUCUUCGCCUUCGCGACCCAACUCCUCUAAAUGUAUGUGACAUCAGUUCGGAUUGCGUGGAGACUACGGCUGAUUACCCCGAAUGGGCCGACGAGGCAUUCCAACAAAUGAAGCCGUGGGUCUGGUAUGCUCUAUCGUGUCAAGUUCAAGUGCUUAAAAUUUGUUUUCCCUGGCGGGUAAUCGACACUACUCUCAUCUCGUCGCACUUGAAGAGGUUACAUCUCGAUGGCAUGCACUUUGAGGGAUGCUCGCUCGAUUUUUCGAGUUGUAAGGUGCUAGAGGUGUUAGAGAUGAUAAGUUGUGACAUCUAUGCGAAUAUCAUGUCCCAAACAUUACGACAUCUUAAAAUUAAUGGUGGGGGGUUUUGUAUUGAUGACCGCAUUCGUAUUUCCACCCCAAAUCUCAUUGGCUUCAGACUAGCUCCACUUUGGGGUUGGGCUCCUUUGCUUGAUAGCAUGCCAUCACUUGUAACAACAUCUGUAAAGCUUGGAGAAGGGUGUGAGGAGGAACUGUGUUACUGUAGUAAUCCAUCAUGUGAGGGAUGUGAUGCUCAACCUGGUGGAACCAACUAUCCCGUGGCUCUGCAAAGUUUGUCGGGUGCUACAAAUUUGAAGUUGAAAAUAUAUGAUCCGACACGGUUAUCUAUUUUCAGAAUGGAUUUGAAAUGGCGCCCUGUGUUUAGGAAGUUAAAAACAUUGUUGCUCAAUGAAUGGUGUGUCGGUGAUGAUUUUACUGGAUUGAUUUACUUUCUCCAGCACUCACCAAUUCUAGAGACACUUACGCUUCAGCUUGAUCUUGAAAGUUCUCAGGAUUAUCAUUUGAGCAAAACUGAUGAAAGUUGUAACUUAAAGGAACAGUCAUUGCUAUCACCACAUCUCAAGGUAGUCAAAAUUAUAUGUUGCACGCCGGAAGAUGUGAUAGUUCGCCGUAUUUUAAAGAUUCUAUGUGCCCAUGGAGUGCCUUACGAAAAAAUUGAGGUUGAAGUUCGCAUGGUUCAAUUUCGAUCUAUAUAUGAUCAGAUCAUCCCCGUUAUUCAAACUUGA
rnacentral:rRNA from 1 species